UAAAAGAGUGUAUGUUUUCUGCAGGUAUGU
rnacentral:piRNA from 1 species